CGUCAAGCUUAACGAAGUGGGGGUUGAGUCGAGCAGUGGGGAGAGGAGGGGCGUGGGGAUGGCCGCCUGCCGGUCACUUCGGGGCGGCGCAGGCGCAGGAGGAGGGACCUGGGGCGCGCUGUGCACGCCCGGAACCAUCGUCGAGGAAGGAGAGCCACGUGUGACAAUAUGGACAGAUCUGACAAACAUGGUGUUAAAUGAGCGACACAUUGCGGAAGGAUGGGAAGAGCCGCACGUUCUUACCUUCUUCCCAGCCCAGGAUCUCCACGUGAUGUUCAAUCCCUCAUCGGGAAGAUGUCUUUUAACAUGGAAUGAGGGUUUAGAUGACAGCUGUCAAAAAGAAUGACAGGUGGAGAUGAAGACCUAAUAAGAUGCGUUAACCUAAUGCUACAUAAAGAAUUACCCCAAAACUCAGUGUCUUAAAACAGUGAACAUUAUCUUCUCACAGCUUUUGUGGGCCAGGACUUGGAAGCGGCUGAGCUGGGUGCUUGGCUCACGGCCUCUUGAGGCGACGGUCGGGGUAUUGGCCAGGGUCGCAGUCACACAGUCAUCUGAAGGCUUCACCGGCCUGGCGGUCCUCUUCCACAGGGACUCGCUCACGUGCCUCACGAGUUGGUGUUGGCUGCUGGCAGGGGGCCCCCGUCCUCUCCCAAUGAGCCUUUCCACCAGCCGCUUGAAUGUCCUCUUGACAUGGAGGCUGGCUUCCCCUGAGAGAGAGAUCAAGAGAGACCAAGACUGAAGCCACAACAUUUUUCAUUACCCAGCCUCAAAAGUCACUCUCCAUCAUUUCUGCAACGUCCGUUGGUUACACAGGUCAACUCUAUUCAACAUGGAUGGGAACUACAAAAAGGCUUGAAUACCCAAAGGCAAGACUCGCUGAGGGCCGUCUCGGAGGACGGCUGCCGCUUGAGAGAAUGUCAAAUCCCACAGGUUCUUCAUCAUCCGGUCCAGCUUGCCCUGAUGUGCCCGCCCGUGUCAUCUCAGCUCUGCUGAGCCCUCUGUCCUCGGGCCCCUCAUCCGGCGCCGAGGCGUACAGUGUCUCCUGUGCCUUAACGCCAAGAGGGACGGCCGUUUGUAAGUCCUUUCAUAGCCUCCGCUACACCAAAGGCAGGGCUGAAAGCACACAUGGGGCCCAGAAGUUCUCGUCGAAUAACAAAAUAGUGAUUUUUGUCUCUUCAGAUGUCACGUGAGAGUUUCAGGAUUCCAUACUUUCCCAGGAGUUUUCCUUGUUAUCUUACAAGGACAAAUGUUUUCACCGUUAUCAAAAUUCCUUCAGUUGUUUGUAACUUUAAAGUCCCAUCAGGACCUGCGUUCCAAGACUUUAAACUACUGAAGCCUAACGUUGUAUUUAAUGAGGAGCAAAACCAAGUUAAUUCCCAUUCACAGAUGACAAGUGAACAGUUGGCAGCAAUUUCAACAUCUGCUUUUAAUUCAUUUAAGUGUGAUCAAAUGGUGAUUAAAAAAAGUGCUGGAAACUCUAAUAUUUCUCCAUUAUCCUUCGAAUAGUUGUCUCUGCUAACUGAAGUUGACUCUUGAUGGUUGUGUAGAUGGACCCAAAGUAAACACUGGGGCAGAGAGUGGUCCGUUUUUGUGCCUUCAUGUGGGAGCCUGUUUCACCCUUUCUUCGUUCCAAGUUCGUUCCCAAAUGUUCCAGACAAAAGGCUCUUGUUAGGGUUGAGUCACUGCUGGUUUGAAACGGGGAUAGUAACCAACAUGUUAGUUGGAACUAGCCUUAGAUUUAAAAACUUCUUGCCUUUGUGAGUUCACGCACACGCGCACACACAAUCUGUAAACAAUAUCCUCAGACGAUGGCUGUGCUGUUCUUUAUUUAUAAUCUGUCUCCAUUUGCCUCAUACACCUUGCUCACCCUUCCUUUUAGGCGUACUUCUUGCCAAAUAAAGUAAUUAGCAAGGAAUCAGGUAGGUAAUUGGAUGGAAUUACAUGAUACUUGCUUUUAAUACUAUGUGUAAGAAAUAUAGGUAAUUGUUAUAGUUUCUAUGAAUAUAUUAUUUACAGGCUGGUUUGUCGAAUACCCAUACUAAGUUGUACAGAUUGUUAUUGUCAUGUCUACAUUUUUUAAAAAAAGAUUCUACAAUUCUGUACUUUUAUUUAAUUAAUUAAUUAAUUUAUUUUUUGGUGAGGAAGAUUGUCCCUGAGCUAACAUCUGUGUCAAUCUUCCUCUAUUUUUUAUGUGGGAUGCCACCACAGCAUGGCUUGAUAAGUGGUGUGUAGGUCCAUGCCCGGGAUCUGAGCCUGCGAACCCCGGGCUGCUGAGGCAGACCGUGCAGACUUAAUCACUAUACCACUGGGCUGGCCCCCAUUUCUACAAUUCAAAUUCAUGUAAGAAGAAUACAAAAUUAAAUAAAAAGAAUUCUUAGGGUAUAAUGAAUAUGAAAAUGACCACAGAUACAAAAGCACUAAAAAAUUUUAGAUAAAGGAUUUCUUCUCUAUAAUUUUGCUCACGCUGUUUUUCCUGGACAAUAUCAACUACUGCUCUGUUGUUAAUUCCCAGCCAUAACCGGAAAACUCCUGUAUCUGCAUUUCCAACCCUGGCCUUUCUUUCUCACUUGGCAUCUGUAAAUCUAGCCACCUACCUGGAGCUUGCUUGGAUGACCUACAAACACCCCAAACUCAACAUUCUGAAACCCAGCGCGUUAUAUCUGCCUGCUCCCCCGUCCCCACCUCUUCUAUAGAGGUGACUGGUUUUAUCAUAUAUCCCGUCAUCUAAGCCAGAAACUUGG
ensembl:lncRNA